rnacentral:rRNA from 1 species
AUUGAACGCUGGCGGCAGGCCUAACACAUGCAAGUCGAAUGGUAUCAGGAAACAGCUUGCUGUUUCGCUGACGAGUGGCGGACGGGUGAGUAAUGUCUGGGAAACUGCCUGAUGGAGGGGGAUAACUACUGGAAACGGUGGCUAAUACCGCAUAACGUCGCAAGACCAAAGAGGGGGACCUUCGGGCCUCUUGCCAUCAGAUGUGCCCAGAUGGGAUUAGCUAGUAGGUGGGGUAACGGCUCACCUAGGCGACGAUCCCUAGCUGGUCUGAGAGGAUGACCAGCCACACUGGAACUGAGACACGGUCCAGACUCCUACGGGAGGCAGCAGUGGGGAAUAUUGCACAAUGGGCGCAAGCCUGAUGCAGCCAUGCCGCGUGUAUGAAGAAGGCCUUCGGGUUGUAAAGUACUUUCAGCGGGGAGGAAGGGAGUAAAGUUAAUACCUUUGCUCAUUGACGUUACCCGCAGAAGAAGCACCGGCUAACUCCGUG